GGGACCCUUUCAUAACACAGGCGUCAUCACCUGCAGCCUCACACUCCAACCAGGUCCUCAGCUCUGCCUUGCAGGGGCUCCUGCAGGUGGGCGGGGCUGGGCCUGCAGCGGAGCAGGGACCCUUGGGCCUCCCACCCUCCACCUUGGCCCCUCACAGAGCCAAGCAUCAUCCCAGAACCUCCCAGCAUCCAAGGCAGAGCUGCAGAGGAUGAGAAUUGAGCCUCCUCUGACUAGACCUGGAUAAAAUGUCAGUGCAGCGUAUGAAACACCUGCAGCCAGUGCCUUCGCGGUGGAGGGGGUGGAGGGACAGAGGGACUGGCCUGUUGGGACCACAUGUGCCCCAGCAGAGGGAGCCCAGGUCAGCCCAGCACAGCUCAGGAGCUCAUCCUCAUGAGAACAAAGCUACCACGCAAGUGUCACAGGUGCAACUGACAGGGCCAGUGUCACGAGUGGUAAAAGAAUGUACCAAGACUGUUUUGGCCUUAAGUUUCCCGGGGACUAUCAUGUGGAAGUGAGUGAUCUGGAUGAAACUGAGGCAGCAUUUCCUGCAGAACGGGGACAGCGGGCGCCACCCACACUCGACCAGCAGAAUGGGGACAGUGGGCGCCACCCACACCCACACUUGACCAGCACACGUUCACUCUUCCAGGACAUCUUCUCAGGAAGAGGGAAGAUGCACACCACUGCGUCAAUUCCGGGAAACUCCUGGAACACCAUUCGGUUUGUUUCUGAAGGCUGCCUUAAGCACCACAGACCGAGCAGCUAAAACAACAGACACUUAUUUUCUCAGCCCUGGGUGCUGGAAGCCCGAGGUCAAGGUGCCUGGGUUGGUUCCUUCUGAGGCUUCUCUCCCUGGCUCACCCUGGGCGUCUCCUCCCAAUGUGAUGUCCUCACAUGGGGUCGCUCUGAGCGUGUCUGUGUCCUAGUCUCCUCUCCUUAUGAAGACACCAGUCAGAUUGGGUCAGGGCCACCCUAGCAACCUCAUUUUAACUUGAUUACCUCUUUAAAUACUCUGCCUCCAAAUACAGUUACAUUCUGAGUUUCUGGGGGUUAGAACCUCAACAUAUGAAUUUUAGGGGGACACAGUUCAGCCACAACAUCCUGUGUCCACCCUUCCUAACGAUUAUAUCAUGAUCCUUAAUCCAAAUCCAAACCAGGCCCCCUCCACUGGGUGCCUCUGCAUUGAAAGACGCAUGUAAACCAGACCACAAAACUGCAAACACCCAACACCACUGAGGCCGGGCUGGGCUUUUCUCCGCUGCAUGAAGCCAGCCGCUCAGCUUUGUCUUAGCAUAGGGUGACUGCGCCGGCGUCCGGGGGCAGGGUAUGUCGCUGAUAUUUUGGGGAGUCAGCCGUGGAUGACGUGUGAGUCCCAUGCACUCUGCCAGCCAAUGUCUAUGUUUAUGAACCCCCCAGGCUUCCCCACAGAAGUGGGUGUGAGGAAUGAUUUGGGAACUCUGGGGUGCUUUUUCCCGGGAAGUUCACCCUCCCAGCAAUAAUGAAAAUAAAAAUAAAAUGGCAAAAGAUCUCGGUGUUGUCUUGACCAUUCUAUGUUGUAG
rnacentral:lncRNA from 10 species